GAUCUACUCCCUCCGUCCGAAGAAACUUGUCCCAAGCUUGUCCUUCAAAUGGAUGUAUCUAGCACUAACUUGAUGCUAGAUACAUCUAUUUGAGGGACAAGCUUUUUCGGACGGAGGGAGUAUAAA
rnacentral:pre_miRNA from 1 species